rnacentral:rRNA from 1 species
UCCGACUACCAUGGCAGUAACGGGUAACGAAGAAUUAGGGUUCGAUUUCGGAGAGGGAGCAUGAGAAACGGCUACCACAUCUAAGGAAGGCAGCAGGCGCGUAAAUUACCCAAUCCUGACUCAGGGAGGUAGUGACAAGAAAUAGCAAACCGGGAACCUCAUGGUUUCACGGUAUUGCAAUGAGAACAAUUUAAAACCCUUAGCGAGAAUCAAGUGGAGGACAAGUCUGGUGCCAGCACCCGCGGUAAUUCCAGCUCCACUAGCGUAUAUUAAAGUUGUUGCAGUUAAAAAGCUCGUAGUUGAACCUCUGUCUGGGGCUAGUUUUGGCUUUGGUCAGGCUAGUUCUAGGCAUCCGCCUACAAGACUUAGAGGGCAUUCAGUUGUUCACUAGGAGGAGUAGGCAUUUUACUUUGAAAAAAUUAGAGUGUUUAAGGCAGGCAAUCGCCCGCAUAUAUUAGCAUGGAAUAAUAGAAUAGGACACUUUUCCAUUUCGUUGGUUAUUGGAAUCGUGUAAUGAUUAAUAGGGACAGUUGUGGGCAUUUGUAUUUAAUUGUCAGAGGUGAAAUUCUUGGAUUUAUUAAAGACAAACUAACGCGAAAGCAUUUGCCAAGGAUGUUUUCAUUAAUCAAGAACGAAAGUUAGGGGAUCAAAGACGAUCAGAUACCGUCCUAGUCUUAACUAUAAACUAUUCCGACUCAAUGUUUGACUGGCUUAUAUACCAGUUGAGCGUUGUAUGAGAAAUCAAAGUCUUUAGGUUCUGGGGGGAGUAUGGUUGCAAAGCUGAAACUUAAAGGAAUUGACGGAAGAGCACAACCAGGAGUGGAUUCUGCGGCUUAAUUUGACUCAACACGGGGAAACUUACCAGGUUAAAACAAUAGUGGGAUUGACAGUUUGAGAGCGCUUUCUUGAUUGGUUGGGUGGUGGUGCAUGGCCGUUCUUAGUUGGUGGAGUGAUUUGUCUGCUUAAUUGCGUUAACGAACGAGACCUUAACCUGCUUACUAGACUGGCGAUCAUCAAUCGUUAGCUCUUCUUAGAGGGACUUUGGUUGUUUUAACUCCAAGGAAGUUUGAGGCAAUAACAGGUCUGUGAUGCCCUUAGAUAUCCUGGGCCGCACGCGUCAUACAAUGACUAGUUCAGAAAGUUUUCUCCUGACCCGAAAGGGGAUGGGUAAUCUUGAUAAUACUAGUCGUGUUAGGGAUCGAUCUUUGCAAUUAUAGAUCUUGAACGAGGAAUUCCUAGUAGUGCGGUUCAUCAGACCGUACUGAUUACGUCCCUGCUCUUUGUACACACCGCCCGUCGCUUCUACCGAGUGGGUGGUCCGGUGAGAUAAUUGAACUUCGCAGGUAACUGAGAGGAAAGAUUAUCAAACCUAUCCACCUCGAGGAAGAAGAAGUCGUAACAAGGUU